rnacentral:SRP_RNA from 2 species
GGAAGGUCGGCGCGGGCGAAAGCCUUGCCAAUCCGGUCAGGUCCGAAAGGAAGCAGCCGCACGUGAGAAUUUUUCGGGUCGUUAGUCCGGCCUUCCACU